ensembl:ncRNA asRNA:CR44108 antisense RNA:CR44108
GCAGCUCUAUGCGGUCGAUGUACUCGUUGCCACCGUAGUACCUGCAAGUCAAAGCGAUGACCAGGAUUAGAGCAGGAUCACCAGGGAUUCACAUGCCAUAGAGCCAAUAAGGUGAUCUCUACCAAUCCGUGAGGAAUCUUAUAUGUGCACCCACCUCUUGCCGGGAUAUCCCUCGGAGUACUUGUUGGUCAGGCAGGAGCUCAGGCUCUCGAGAACCGCCACC